rfam:Haemonchus contortus, ISE/inbred ISE, WGS project CAVP01000000 data, contig: Hcontortus_32752
GGCACAAAUUCGAAGUAGAGUGGAUUUGUAGUAUCAGCUGACCCUACUGAACUACUGUAUUUCGAAAUUGAGCCC